rnacentral:rRNA from 1 species
CCUACGGGCGGCAGCAGUGGGGAAUUUUGCGCAAUGCUCGUAAGAGUGACGCAGCGACGCCGCGUGAAUGACGAAGGCCUUCGGGUCGUAAAGUUCUUUCGACAGGGAAGAAAAUGCCUAUAAGUAACUGUGUAUGUAUUGAUGGUACCUGUAUAAGCAGCCCCGGCUAACUCCGUGCCAGCAGCCGCGGUAAUACGGAGGGGGCGAGCGUUGUUCGGGGUGACUGGGCGUAAAGAGCACGUAGGCGGUGUUGUAAGUCAUUAGUCAAAGACUAGAGCUCAACUUUAGUAAGGCUAGUGAUACUAUAAUACGAGAGUAUCAGAGAGGAUUGCAGAAUUCCUGGUGUAGCGGUGAAAUGCGUAGAUAUCAGGAGGAAUACCGUUAGCGAAGGCGGCAAUCUGGCUGGAAACUGACGCUGAGGUGCGAAAGCGUGGGUAGCAAACAGGAUUAGAUACCCCGGUAGUC